UACGUAGGGCGCAAGCGUAUCCGGAAUUAUUGGGCGUAAAGAGCUCGUAGGCGGUUUGUCGCGUCUGCCGUGAAAGUCCGGGGCUCAACUCCGGAUCUGCGGUGGGUACGGGCAGACUAGAGUGAUGUAGGGGGAGACUGGAAUUCCUGGUGUAGCGGUGAAAUGCGCAGAUAUCAGGAGGAACACCGAUGGCGAAGGCAGGGUCUCUGGGCAUUAACUGACGCUGAGGAGCGAAAGCAUGGGGGAGCGAACAGG
rnacentral:rRNA from 1 species